rnacentral:rRNA from 1 species
CCACAUCACGAAAGUUGGUUGCUCUUGAAGUCGCUGAGCUGACCCGCAAGGGGUGCAGGCGCCUACGGAGUGAUCGAUGAUUGGGGUG